rnacentral:rRNA from 1 species
GACGAACGCUGGCGGCGUGCCUAAUACAUGCAAGUUGAGCGCUGAAGGUUGGUACUUGUACCAACUGGAUGAGCAGCGAACGGGUGAGUAACGCGUGGGGAAUCUGCCUUUGAGCGGGGGACAACAUUUGGAAACGAAUGCUGAUACCGCAUAAAAACUUUAAACACAAGUUUUAAGUUUGAAAGAUGCAAUUGCAUCACUCAAAGAUGAUCCCGCGUUGUAUUAGCUAGUUGGUGAGGUAAAGGCUCACCAAGGCGAUGAUACAUAGCCGACCUGAGAGGGUGAUCGGCCACAUUGGGACUGGGACACGGCCCAAACUCCUACGGGAGGCAGCAGUAGGGAAUCUUCGGCAAUGGACGAAAGUCUGACCGAGCAACGCCGCGUGAGUGAAGAAGGUUUUCGGAUCGUAAAACUCUGUUGGUAGAGAAGAACGUUGGUGAGAGUGGAAAGCUCAUCAAGUGACGGUAACUACCCAGAAAGGGACGGCUAACUACGUG